AUUGAACGCUGGCGGCAGGCCUAACACAUGCAAGUCGGACGGUAGCACAGAGAGCUUGCUCUCGGGUGACGAGUGGCGGACGGGUGAGUAAUGUCUGGGGAUCUGCUCGAUAGAGGGGGAUAACCACUGGAAACUGUGGCGAAUACCGCAUAACGUCGCAAGACCAAAGAGGGGGACCUUCGGGCCUCUCACUAUCGUAUGCACCCAGAUGGGAUUAGCACGUAGGCGGGGUAACGGCCCACCUAGGCGACGAUCCCUAGCUGGUCUGAGAGGAAGACCAGCCACACUGGAACUGAGACACGGUCCAGACUCCUACGGGAGGCAGCAGUGGGGAAUAUUGCACAAUGGGCGCAAGCCUGAUGCAGCCAUGCCGCGUGUAUGAAGAAGGCCUUCGGGUUGUAAAGUACUUUCAGCGGGGAGGAAGGCGAUGUGGUUAAUAACCGCGUCGAUUGACGUUACCCGCAGAAGAAGCACCGGCUAACUCCGUGCCAGCCGCCGCGGUAA
rnacentral:rRNA from 1 species